UGGGUAAUUUAUUUAUAAAAAAAAAAAAAAAAGAAGAGGGAAACAAGAAGUGGGCGUGUGACCUAGUGGGAAUGGAAUAUUUCCUUAAGAUGGUGAAAAUCAAGACUUGAAGACCAUGAUCAUUUGGGGAUAGGCAUGAUCAUAUCUUAUCCCUUUGUAUCUUUUUGAAAUAAAGAGAAAUCAAAGAAAAUAAAAGAGAAAUGGAAACUUACCUUAAUAUUGUUUGGGGAGACUUUAUGAGAGGAUUUGUGAUAAAGGGACUAAGAAAGGAGAGAAGAGCCAUUGCUCUUGUGUGUGUGUGAGUGGCUGCCGUGACCUAGAGAGAGAGAGAGAGAGAGUGGCAUGUAGAGAGAGAGAGAGAGAGGAAGAAAGAAAGAAAGGAAGAAGGAAGAAGAAAGUGAAGAGGAACCCCCUAGAGCUUGAACAAGGGUGUGGAGUUUGGGUAUUGAUCUCUUGUGUUCUUGAUUUUUACAAUCAAGAGAGGCUCGUUGAAAAGAUUGUGAAAUUCUUAGCUUGGACCUGAGGUAAGGAAG